rnacentral:rRNA from 1 species
UGCAGUCGACGGCAGCACGGGGGCAACCCUGGUGGCGAGUGGCGAACGGGUGAGUAACAUAUCGGAACGUGCCCUGGAGUGGGGGAUAACUAGUCGAAAGAUUAGCUGAUACCGCAUACGAUCUACGGAUGAAAGUGGGGGAUCGCAAGACCUCAUGCUCGUGGAGCGGCCGAUAUCUGAUUAGCUAGUUGGUGGGGUAAAGGCCUACCAAGGCAUCGAUCAGUAGCUGGUCUGAGAGGACGACCAGCCACACUGGGACUGAGACACGGCCCAGACUCCUACGGGAGGCAGCAGUGGGGAAUUUUGGACAAUGGGCGCAGGCCUGAUCCAGCAAUGCCGCGUGAGUGAAGAAGGCCUUCGGGUUGUAAAGCUCUUUUGUCAGGGAAGAAACGGUUCGGGUUAAUACCUUGGGCUAAUGACGGUACCUGAAGAAUAAGCACCGGCUAACUACGUGCCAGCAGCCGCGGUAAUACGUAGGGUGCAAGCGUUAAUCGGAAUUACUGGGCGUAAAGCGUGCGCAGGCGGUUGUGCAAGACAGAUGUGAAAUCCCCGGGCUCAACCUGGGAAUUGCAUUUGUGACUGUACGGCUAGAGUGUGUCAGAGGGGGGUAGAAUUCCACGUGUAGCAGUGAAAUGCGUAGAGAUGUGGAGGAAUACCGAUGGCGAAGGCAGCCCCCUGGGAUAACACUGACGCUCAUGCACGAAAGCGUGGGGAGCAGACAGGAUUAGAUACCCUGGUAGUCCACGCCCUAAACGAUGUCUACUAGUUGUCGGGUCUUUAUUGACUUGGUAACGCAGCUAACGCGUGAAGUAGACCGCCUGGGGAGUACGGUCGCAAGAUUAAAACUCAAAGGAAUUGACGGGGACCCGCACAAGCGGNGGAUGAUGUNGNUUAAUUCGAUGCAACGCGAAAAANCNUUACCUACCCUUGACNUGG